rnacentral:rRNA from 1 species
UAGGGAAUCUUCCACAAUGGACGCAAGUCUGAUGGAGCAACGCCGCGUGAGUGAAGAAGGUUUUCGGACCGUAAAGCUCUGUUGUUGGUGAAGAAGGAUAGAGGUAGUAACUGGCCUUUAUUUGACGGUAAUCAACCAGAAAGUCACGGCUAACUACGUGCCAGCAGCCGCGGUAAUACGUAGGUGGCAAGCGUUGUCCGGAUUUAUUGGGCGUAAAAGCGAGCGCAGGCGGAAGAAUAAGUCUGAUGUGAAAGCCCUCGGCUUAACCGAGGAAUUGCAUCGGAAACUGUUUUCUUGAGUGCAGAAGAGGAGAGUAGAACUCCAUGUGUAGCGGUGGAAUGCGUAGAUAUAUGGAAGAAUACCAGUGGCGAAGGCGGCUCUCUGGUCUGCAACUGACGCUGAGGCUCGAAAGCAUGGGUAGCGAACAGGAUUAGAUACCCUUGGUAGUCCAUGCCGUAAACGAUGAGUGCUAAGUGUUGGGAGGCUUCCGCCUCUCAGUGCUGCAGCUAACGCAUUAAGCACUCCGCCUGGGGGAGUACGACCGCAAGGUUGAAAC